rnacentral:lncRNA from 1 species
GCUGAAACGCCCUUGAGUUCAGAAUUAGCAGGGGAAAGCUUGUCUUCUUCAUCAACAGGGUCAAGUCAUAUUGACAUGAAGAGGAGGAACAGCAAAGCUAUAGAGGAAGGAUUCAGAAGGACCUUCCAAGCUGAAACUGGAAUUAGCAGACAGAAAGAUGGAAGUAGUACUAGUAAUGUUGAUAAUGAAGAGCAGGAUAUAUUAAAGCAGCAGCUUCCAUGGCUCUCUCAGGUCUUGACCCUCAAUAUGACUUAAGUGUCUUUCUCUCUUCCCUUCAAUUUGGUUUGAAAGCAUGAAGCUUUUAUUAUUAUUCUUCUUCUUGUAUACUUUCUCUGGUUAGUUUCCAGAUGGAAGUGUCUCAGGAAUGAUGUCAGUCUGUUUGUGUAAAAAUGACUAGUUGUUUUCCUCUCACCUUACCUAGCAAUUUAGUCAACGACUCUGUCUCGUUGUAACCUGUCUUUCUAGUUUUUGAAAAUCACCUUGGAAUAUGAGGAACAAGAACAGAAUGGCAUCAUACUUACAGACUGUCAUCUAUUUACAACCCAUUAAAGGAUCUUUUAAUUUCGUGAAGAAUCUAAUGACUAUAUUUUAUGGCUGAAAGAGACGAUAUAAACAAGGGAAAGAAAAAGGUUUAGAUCACCAUAUUCUAAACAAACUAGUCAAUGGAGUAGGACAGACAACUAUAAACACACCUUUUAUUUCAAUAUGGAAAUUCUUUCCCAAACCAUUCUGCAAUUUCCUUUUUUCAGAACAAGACCAGUAGUGGGAAAUCCCCGGUUUUUGUUUUCUGCUUCACCUGAAAAGUGAACCACAAGCAUAAACUGAAGUGAAGAAUCCCAUUUCAAGACAAGAAUACUGUGUACAUUGCCUGCUAAGCAAAAUAGAGAAGAAUCUUACUUACCCCACCCGAGCCUUUCCCCAAAUUCAAGCAAGUUGGUUGGUCGGCCACCGUAUGAGCAAUAGAUUCCCCAUGUCAAUAAUCCAAUGGUCCUGUCCUGAAAACUAAAGAAGAAAGAAAGAAAGAAAGAACAAAAGGGAUAAGGAAGGAGCCUGGUGGUACUAGCCUUUAGAUAAAUAGAUAGAUAGAUAUAUAGUACAUAGAUAGAUAAAUAUAAGAAUAUACAAUCUAUAUCUGAC